UUGUGAUGAAAUAAUGCAAGAUACUUUUCCCUUGAUUAUAUCAUCAUUUGCAUAUCUCACCAGCACAUCCAUCAAUUUGUAUGCUACGAAAGUUAGGAUACUAGAUACCAUGGCUAAUGCGAAAUACUGCCUUAUAAUGUUGGACCUAAAUUGUGAACGUACGAUAAUUGACAUGUUCCAACACUUUCUUGUAGCUCUAAAAGGAAAUCGUUUAGG
rnacentral:lncRNA from 1 species